rnacentral:rRNA from 1 species
AGAGACAGCAGUAGCCGCGGGAAUACAGAGGGUGCGAGCGUUAAUCGGAUUUACUGGGCGUAAAGCGUGCGUAGGCGGCUAAUUGAGUCGGAUGUGAAAUCCCCGAGCUUAACUUGGGAAUUGCAUUCGAUACUGGUUAGCUAGAGUGUGGGAGAGGAUGGUAGAAUUCCAGGUGUAGCGGUGAAAUGCGUAGAGAUCUGGAGGAAUACCGAUGGCGAAGGCAGCCAUCUGGCCUAACACUGACGCUGAGGUACGAAAGCAUGGGGAGCAAACAGGAUUAGAUACCCCCGUAGUCCCUGUCUCUUAUAA